AGCUGGUCUGCUCACGCCGUCGCAACGGCGGGGUGAGCAUCGAGCGAAGCGUAUGCGUCGCGAGAGGGAACCCGGUGGGAAUCCGGGACUGUCCCGCAGCGGUAUGCAGGAACGACCGCCGUCAACAGCACUGGUCAAAAGACUGGGAAGCGACGGCCAGUAGGGGUAUCCAUCCGGAUACGCGCCUGUGAGUCCGAAGACCUGCCAGCU
rfam:Mycobacterium sp. NE-TNMC-100812 PROKKA_contig000026, whole genome shotgun sequence.